UCUGAUAUAAAUACAGAACCAGAAGGUUACCAGUCUGGGACCUGUGGUGCCACCUCUGCUAUAAAUACAGAACCAGAAGGUUACCAGUCUGGGACCUGUGGUGCCACCUCUGCUAUAAAUACAGAACCAGAAGGUUACCAGUCUGGGACCUGUGGUGCCACCUCUGCUAUAAAUACAGAACCAGAAGGUUACCAGUCUGGGACCUGUGGUGCCACCUCUGC